AUUGAACGCUGGCGGCAUGCCUUACACAUGCAAGUCGAACGGCAGCACGGGUGCUUGCACCUGGUGGCGAGUGGCGAACGGGUGAGUAAUACAUCGGAACGUACCUUAUCGUGGGGGAUAACGCAGCGAAAGCUGUGCUAAUACCGCAUACGCCCUGAGGGGGAAAGCGGGGGAUCGCAAGACCUUGCGCGAUGAGAGCGGCCGAUGCCUGAUUAGCUUGUUGGUGGGGUAAAAGCCCACCAAGGCGACGAUCAGUAGCUGGUCUGAGAGGACGAUCAGCCACACUGGGACUGAGACACGGCCCAGACUCCUACGGGAGGCAGCAGUGGGGAAUUUUGGACAAUGGGGGCAACCCUGAUCCAGCAAUGCCGCGUGAGUGAAGAAGGCCUUCGGGUUGUAAAGCUCUUUUGUCAGGGAAGAAACACCGGCUCUAACACAGUCUGGGAAUGACGGUACCUGAAGAAUAAGCACCGGCUAACUACGUGCCAGCAGCCGCCGUAAGAC
rnacentral:rRNA from 1 species